GUAUCUUUUCUCGGCGCCUGCAAAAUCAGGCGCCGGGUUUAGCAUCCUGACUA
rnacentral:ncRNA from 1 species